AUUGAACGCUGGCGGCAGGCUUAACACAUGCAAGUCGAGCGGAGAUGAGGUGCUUGCACCUUAUCUUAGCGGCGGACGGGUGAGUAAUGCUUAGGAAUCUGCCUAUUAGUGGGGGACAACAUUCCGAAAGGAAUGCUAAUACCGCAUACGCCCUACGGGGGAAAGCAGGGGAUCUUCGGACCUUGCGCUAAUAGAUGAGCCUAAGUCGGAUUAGCUAGUUGGGGGGGUAAAGGCCUACCAAGGCGACGAUCUGGAGCGGGUCUGAGAGGAUGAUCCGCCACACUGGGACUGAGACACGGCCCAGACUCCUACGGGAGGCAGCAGUGGGGAAUAUUGGACAAUGGGCGGAAGCCUGAUCCAGCCAUGCCGCGUGUGUGAAGAAGGCCUUUUGGUUGUAAAGCACUUUAAGCGAGGAGGAGGCUACCUGGAUUAAUACUCUAGGAUAGUGGACGUUACUCGCAGAAUAAGCACCGGCUAACUCUGUGCCAGCCGCCCGCCGUAACAC
rnacentral:rRNA from 1 species